rnacentral:rRNA from 1 species
GAUGAACGCUGGCGGCGUGCCUAAUACAUGCAAGUCGAGCGAACAGACGAGGAGCUUGCUCCUCUGACGUUAGCGGCGGACGGGUGAGUAACACGUGGAUAACCUACCUAUAAGACUGGGAUAACUUCGGGAAACCGGAGCUAAUACCGGAUAAUAUAUUGAACCGCAUGGUUCAAUAGUGAAAGACGGUUUUGCUGUCACUUAUAGAUGGAUCCGCGCCGCUUUAGCUAGUUGGUAAGGUAACGGCUUACCAAGGCGACGAUGCGUAGCCGACCUGAGAGGGUGAUCGGCCACACUGGAACUGAGACACGGUCCAGACUCCUACGGGAGGCAGCAGUAGGGAAUCUUCCGCAAUGGGCGGAAGCCUGACGGAGCAACGCCGCGUGAGUGAUGAAGGUCUUCGGAUCGUAAAACUCUGUUAUUAGGGAAGAACAAAUGUGUAAGUAACUAUGCACGUCUUGACGGUACCGAAUCAGAAAGCCACGGCUAACUACGUG